UCUGCCUGGGAGCGGGGGAUAACCUGGGGAAACUCGGGCUAAUACCGCAUACGUCGGGUGGUUUUUGGACCAUUCGAGAAAACUGGCCUCUGCUUGCAAGCUAGUGUUCCCAGAGGAGCCCGCGGCUGAUUAGCUAGUUGGUGGGGUAAAGGCCCACCAAGGCGACGAUCAGUAGCCGGCCUGAGAGGGUGAACGGCCACACUGGGACUGAGACACGGCCCAGACUCCUACGGGAGGCAGCAGUGGGGAAUAUUGGACAAUGGGCGCAAGCCUGAUCCAGCAACGCCGCGUGGAGGACGAAGGUCUUCGGAUCGUAAACUCCUGUCAGGCGGGACGAAGGCUGCGGGGCGAACAGUCCUGCAGCUUGACGGUACUGCCAGAGGAAGCCCCGGCUAACUCCGUGCCAGCAGCCGCGGUAAUACGGGGGGGGC
rnacentral:rRNA from 1 species